GACGUAGGGCGCGAGCGUUGUCCGGAUUUAUUGGGCGUAAAGAGCUCGUAGGCGGCUUGUCGCGUCGACCGUGAAAACCCGCAGCUCAACUGCGGGCUUGCGGUCGAUACGGGCAGGCUCGAGUUCGGUAGGGGAGACUGGAAUUCCUGGUGUAGCGGUGAAAUGCGCAGAUAUCAGGAGGAACACCGGUGGCGAAGGCGGGUCUCUGGGCCGAUACUGACGCUGAGGAGCGAAAGCGUGGGGAGCGAACAGG
rnacentral:rRNA from 1 species